rnacentral:rRNA from 1 species
GACGAACGCUGGCGGCGUGCUUAACACAUGCAAGUCGAACGGUGAAGCGCCUUCCUUUUGGUGGGUGUGGAUGAGUGGCGAACGGGUGAGUAACACGUGAGUAACCUGCCCCCUUCUUCUGGAUAACCGCGUGAAAGUGUGGCUAAUACGGGAUAUUCUGGGUCUGUCGCAUGAUGGGUCUGGGAAAGAUAUUGUUUCGGUGGGGGAUGGGCUCGCGGCCUAUCAGCUUGUUGGUGGGGUGAUGGCCUACCAAGGCGGUGACGGGUAGCCGGCCUGAGAGGGUGGACGGUCACACUGGGACUGAGACACGGCCCAGACUCCUACGGGAGGCAGCAGUGGGGAAUAUUGCACAAUGGGCGCAAGCCUGAUGCAGCGACGCCGCGUGAGGGAUGGAGGCCUUCGGGUUGUGAACCUCUUUCGCCAGUGAAGCAGGCCUGCCUCGUUUGUGGGUGGGUUGACGGUAGCUGGAGAAGAAGCGCCGGCUAACUACGUG